GCCAUUCGUGGAUGUAUCUGUGGGAGCUGGCACGUUGCCUGGAGCCCUUCAGCGGGCAGGAAGGGCGAUCCAGCACAAACAGAAGGUUUUGGAAGAUAGGCUCUGACAGUGAUUAGAGGCAAGGGAAGGCUUCCCUGCUACAGCAAGUGUCAUGUUUUUUAAAGCUGUCCUUUCUGAGGUUGCAUUAGUUGCUAGGACUGUUUCCAUUCGCAGGAGAAGAGAAAGAACGUGACAGAGGUGUGCAAGUCACUGAAUGACACAGGCAAGUCAGCCCUUGCCUUCGUGUGGAGCCCUUUCUGGGAGAUUUAAGAGAUGGCCGCUUGCAACUGAGUGGCAAUACAGGAGACAAUACAUUGCACACCCAAUUAAUGUGCUAACCUGCAAAACUCCUUGCCAGAAGAUACUGCUGCGUCCCCCCCAAAAAAACAUAGCAGAUUUUCUCAAAGUACAACAUUCACAGGACUGGUGUCUCCCUUUUACUCAGAGCUACACCAGACUCACAUAGAAGAGCUCUCAGGAGCCUGCGAUCCUAACCUCACCCCUUUACCAGUUUCUUAACAUCUGGGGACAUCAACAUACCUUCCUGGGACAAAGUAAGAUGUACCCCAGCCUGAGCAGAAGCAGAUGAUCCAAACCAUCUCCAAACACUCCUAGCCUGGCCAGCAGCU